rnacentral:rRNA from 1 species
UACGUAGGGUGCAAGCGUUUGUCCGGAAUUAUUGGGCGUAAAGAGCUCGUAGGCGGUUUUGUCGCGUCUGCUGUGAAAACCCGAGGCUCAACCUCGGGCCUGCAGUGGGUACGGGCAAACUAGAGUGCGGUAGGGGGAGAAUGGAAUUCCUGGUGUAGCGGUGAAAUGCGCAGAUAUCAGGAGGAACACCAGUGGCGAAGGCGACUUCCUGGCCUGUUCUUGACGCUGAGGCGCGAAAGCUAGGGUAGCAAACGGG